ACCUGGCUGGCCCAGUUGGUGGAGUACGUGACUCUUGAUCUUGGGGUCGUGAGUUCGAGCCCCAUGUUGGGUG
rnacentral:tRNA from 1 species